CUCGACUGUCUCAACCAUAGGCCCGGUGAAAUUGCACUACGAGUAAAGAUGCUCGUUUCGCGCAGCAGGACGGAAAGACCCCGGGACCUUUACUAUAGUUUGAUAUUGGUGUUCGGUUCGGCUUGUGUAGGAUAGGUGGGAGACUGUGAAGCGGCCACGCCAGUGGUUGUGGAGUCGUCGUUGAAAUACCACUCUGGUCGUGCUGGAUGUCUAACCUGGGUCCGUGAUCCGGAUCAGGGACAGUGUCUGAUGGGUAGUUUAACUGGGGCGGUUGCCUCCUAAAGGGUAACGGAGGCGCCCAAAGGUUCCCUCAGCCUGGUUGGUAAUCAGGUGUUGAGUGUAAGUGCACAAGGGAGCUUGACUGUGAGACCGACGGGUCGAGCAGGGACGAAAGUCGGGACUAGUGAUCCGGCAGUGGCUUGUGGAAGCGCUGUCGCUCAACGGAUAAAAGGUACCCCGGGGAUAACAGGCUGAUCUUCCCCAAGAGUCCAUA
rnacentral:rRNA from 1 species